rnacentral:tRNA from 1 species
GGUCUCGUAGUUCAGUUGGUUAGAGCGUUGGUUGUACUAAAGCCUUCCCCUUGCUGGCGUGGGUUUGAAUCCCACCCAGACCG